GAUGAACGCUGGCGGCGUGCCUAAUACAUGCAAGUCGAGCGAACAGAUGAGGAGCUUGCUCCUCUGACGUUAGCGGCGGACGGGUGAGUAACACGUGGAUAACCUACCUAUAAGACUGGGAUAACUUCGGGAAACCGGAGCUAAUACCGGAUAAUAUAUUGAACCGCAUGGUUCAAUAGUGAAAGACGGUUUUGCUGUCACUUAUAGAUGGAUCCGCGCCGCAUUAGCUAGUUGGUAAGGUAACGGCUUACCAAGGCAACGAUGCGUAGCCGACCUGAGAGGGUGAGCGGCCACACUGGAACUGAGACACGGUCCAGACUCCUACGGGAGGCAGCAGUAGGGAAUCUUGCGCAAUGGGCGAAAGCCUGACGGAGCAACGCCGCGUGAGUGAUGAAGGUCUUCGGAUCGUAAAACUCUGUUAUUAGGGAAGAACAAAUGUGUAAGUAACUAUGCACGUCUUUACGGUACCUAAUCAGAGAGCCACGGCUAACUACGUG
rnacentral:rRNA from 1 species